GGAACCUGUCCUAUAAUUGAUAGUCCACGAGUUAAUAUACUUAUUUUAAUAAUUUACAUAUCGUUGUAGUUUGAAUAUUUUUAAAAAAAUAAAAUGUUCAAGAUUUUUUUUAUAAAAUAAUUCAGAUCAAGGUGUAGUUUAUAAAUAAGAAGAGAUGGGUUACAAUAAAUUUAUUUAAACGGAUAAUAAUUUUAAAAUUUAUUUGAAGGUGGAUUUGAAAGUAAUUUAAAUUAAAUAAUUUAAAUGAUUUUAGCUCUAAAAUAUGUACAUAUCGCCCGUCAUUUUCAUUACAAAGUGAAACAAGUCGUAACAUAGUAGGCGUACUGGAAAGUGUGCCUAGAAUGACAAAUUAGAGCUUGAAAGAAAGCAUUUUAUUUACAUUAAAAAGUUUAUUGUGAAAAUCAAUAUAAUUUGAAAUAAAUUUAUUAUUAAAUUUAAAAAUUUAUAAUUAUUUAAAUAAAAUAAUUUUAAGUUUUAUUAUAAAAAUGAAAAAAUUUUAAAAAUUAUAGUAAAUUAGUAUUGUGAAAGAAUUAAUUUAAAUAAAAAAAAGAAUAAUUUAUUUUUAGUACCUUGUGCAUCAGGGUUUAUUAAAUAAUAAAUAAAAAUUUAUUUUUUUCGAAUUUAAAAGAGUUAUAAAUUUAUAUUUUUUAUUGUUUUAUAAAUAUUAAAAAUAUUUUUAUAGUAAUGAAAUGUUAUUCGUUUUUAAAUAUACCUAAUUUUUUAAGAAAAAAAUUGAAUUUUUUUAAUAUAAAUAUUUAAUUAAAUUUUUAAUUAAUUAUUAAUAUUAUUUAAUAUUUUAAGGGAUGAGCUUUAAAAUAAAUUAAUAUAAAUAAAUAAUUUUUUUAAAUAAAUAAGAUUAAAAUUUUCUACUUUUAAAAAUAUGUUAUAAUUUUUUUAAAAAAAAAUAAAAUUUUUAUUUAUUUUAUAUUUUUUAUUAAAAUAUUUAUUUAAAUUAAAAAAAUAAAGUAAUAAUGAUUAAAUUAGUAUAAAAUAAUUUAGUAUAUUUUUUAUGAGUUUAAGGUUAAUUAAAGGAAUUCGGCAAAUAAAUUUUUCACCUGUUUAUUAAAAACAUGGCCUUUUGAAUAUAAUUUAAGGUUUAGCCUGCCCAAUGAUAAUUUAAAUGGCCGCAGUAUAUUAACUGUGCAAAGGUAGCAUAAUCAUUUGUUUUUUAAUUGAAAGCUGGAAUGAAAGGUUGAAUGAGAAAAUAACUGUCUCUAAUUAAUUUUUUUAUAAUUUUAUUUUUAAGUUAAAAAGCUUAAAUAUUUUUUGAAGACGAGAAGACCCUAUAGAGUUUAAUAAUUUUAAAUUUGAAUAAUUUAGUAUUAAUUUUUUUUGAAUAAAAAAAUUAUUUAAUUGGGGUGAUUAAAAAAUUAAAUAAACUUUUUUUUAAAAAUUACAUAAAUUAAUGAUUAAUUGAUCCUUUUUAAGAUUGAAAGAAUAAAUUACCUUAGGGAUAACAGCGUAAUUUUUUUUUAGAGUUCAAAUUAAAAAAAAAGAUUGCGACCUCGAUGUUGGAUUAAAAUUAAUAAUUGGUGUAGAAGCUAAUUUAUUGAGUCUGUUCGACUCUUAAAAUUUUACUUGAUCUGAGUUCAAACCGGUGUGAGCCAGGUUGGUUUCUAUCUCAAAUUAACAUAUAUAUUUUAGUACGAAAGGAUCAAAUAUAUAUUAUAUUAUAAUUUAAAUUUUGAAUAUUAUUAAUUAUUUUGGCAGAUUAGUGCGAUAGGUUUAGAACCUAUAAAUGUAAAUUUUUACAAAUAAUACUUGUUAAUAAAAGAUUUAAUAAUAAUAAUAAUUUCAACAUUAAUUUUAUCUUUAAGAGUUAUAAUUGGUGUAGCAUUUUUAACUUUAAUAGAACGAAAAGUUUUAGGAUAUAUUCAAAUUC
rnacentral:rRNA from 1 species